rnacentral:snRNA from 1 species
AGCUUUGCAUAGUGGCAGUAUCAUAACCAGUGAGGUUUAUGAGGUGCGAUUAUUGCUAAUUGAAAAAAAAAAAAAAGACAAACUUAAAUGUAAAACGUAAAACUAUAGAACUUCUAGAAAACAAUGU